CCGCAGCCCGACUUGAGCGGAAAUCCUUUUUUGCCAACCUUAAAGUUCUAUUCAAACUGAAAUCGUCUUGCAAAAAAGAUUGGGAGCGGAAGGCGGAUUAAGC
rnacentral:sRNA from 1 species